rnacentral:rRNA from 1 species
GACGAACGCUGGCGGCGUGCUUAACACAUGCAAGUCGAACGGAGUGGCGAACGGGUGAGUAACACGUGGGUGACCUGCCCUGCACUUCGGGAUAAGCCUGGGUAACUGGGUUCAAUACCGGAUAGUGUGGGAUGGGACCGCGGCCUAUGAGCAUGGUGGUGGGGUAAUGGCCUACCAAGGCGGCGACGUGUAGCCGGCCUGAGAGGGUGGACGGCCACAUGGGGACGCAGACAGUGCCCAGACUCCUACGGGAGGCAGCAGUGGGGAAUAGUGCACAAGGGGCGUAAGCCUGAUGCAGCGACGCCGGGUGGGGGAUGACGGCCUUCAGGUUGUAACCUCCUUUCACCAUCGACGCGGUAGAUGGAGAAGAAGCACCGGCUAACUACGUGCCAGCAGCCGCGGUAAUUC